AUCUGAACUAGUUUGAAUCGUUAUAAAUACCGUUAUGGAAAUCAAUCCUUCCAAUCGCCAUGAAGAGUUCAAUGGACCCUCGCAAAGUGCGCAACAUUUUGCGGACCGGGUUUGUAGUAGCACACACACAGGCACAAAAGGAGUACAGGAGGGAUGGAGCAAUCCGAGGAGCGAGCAAUCUUCUGUUUACCCUGCCACAGUCUUUCCUCAUGAUCCUCCACUUCGUGCCUUUUAAUGCCUUUAAUCCUAGCAAAUAACACAAAGGAGAGAACUCUAGGACAAGUGUAUGGAGGAAUACGAAAAGGCUGAAAAGUGGGGAGAACAUAAUAUACACCGCUAGAAAUCCAGAACUUUUCAAAAUUCAACAACACUACACUAAAGAAUACACUUUAAACGAUUUUUAAAUGUACCUAUUUUUAUAUAUUUAUUAUGUACCUACCAUAUUUAUUAUGUGGGUUUGAAGGACCAUAUCAAUGCGUAAAAAACUGUGCUACAAUAUAUUUAAUAUAUCCAAUGUUUUUCUCUCUGUGCAGGCGACUGUCAGUGGCUUGGGGACUCGACCUGGGACGUGUCUCUGUUUCUGUCCCUGGCAUAAAACAGAAAGUGUGCAACACACGCUCUUGAAGCCAAGCAAACGACUGUGGACGACCGGGCGGGAGGAUCACCAUCGCCCGGAGGGGAGGCGGCCAGACCCAUGUGGUUGUGGUUCCAACUACGAUUGCAGUGAACUUCUAGCCCAGAGUCAUUGAACUUGUCCUGGGGACUGGAGUGACUCUGGCUGCGACUGCGGCUCUACCACGAUAUCAGCACUGGGAUUGUCAUGAUUGUCUUCGGCCACUAGUAUGGUACGUCAUGAUGAGCGUGGUUCGUGGCACACACAGAGCAGUGGCUUUGUCCCCAGCUGUACCAGUACCACACAGAACCGCACUCUGAAUCCCACUUCUCCAACUUCUAAUCCGACUCCUUCGUAGACAUAAUGAACUUGGGUUUUGGGGCUCGUACGUACUGCGUACGCAAUUCUCAAAUCGUGUUUGCGCCUCCUGAGAUCGUGGAGCCCAUCUCUUGCCACUGAGCUGGGAUCUAGCUGGAUGAGUUAAAACUACUCUUGAAGAGGGUAUAUUAACCUAUUAUUAACAUAUUCAUUAAAGAUUUCUAAUAUAUUAUCAAAUGGUAGAACUAGAACUUUAUCAAAACCUCCUAAGAUGUUAGUGCAAAAAGACCUGUCGAUUAGCAGGUUGUCCCACUUUCUAACAUUUUCGAUGGAUAUAAAAUGUUCAGAUAACGUAAAUAUUAAAAACGAAUUCAAAAGGUGAAACACCAUGAUUUAAUUUCCCAGUGCAUUCGGAGAUUCGCUUAGAAAAGGCACCCGUUCUUUCUGGUUUUCUAUUUGAUUUGGCAACACGCUGCCUUUACGGCCCAUUGUCGUUUGCAUGGGGAUAUAUCCAAAAAGGCACGGGUAUGGGUGCAUAUAUAUAUAUAUAUAUACAUAUGAUAAUGAUGUUGGUGAUCGUGCCACUUUAGCAAUGGCUAAGCUACGUAGAUCGGGCCGAAAGCCAGACCCCUGGGAUGGGUUGAAGAACCUUUUGAUUGGUUAACCAUACACGACUCUACGUGGAGCAGUUCUGUGGGCAAUCCUGAAGUGGGGUGCGGUGCAGUCGGGGGCAUUUAACUGUGCCACAUGUAGCCAUGUAGAUCCUCUCCUGAAAAGCCCCAAAAUCCCCCCACUCCUGUGGGCCUGCAUGCAUAAUAUUGCCAAGAUUUAUGCAAAAAAUUGAUGGCAAUUAGUCGUCGUCUUUUGGUUCGUUCUUUAUCUGACUCUGUGGCUCGGCGAGGGAACUCAGCUUGUUCAUUUAUACAUAUAUACAUAUCGAGGUAGGCACUAUGUUGGUGCAUAAUGAUUUUCGGUAUCAAAUUACAUUGGUUAGGGGUUUUUAGUAUGUAUUUUACUUGCUGUUUGCUCUUGUCGUCGCUGCCGUCCUGUGUCUUCUGUCCCCAACCCCAGUUGUCUUCUCCUUCCUGCUUAAUUUGAUGCGCUCGUGCCGUCUUUAUUUUAUUCUCUUUUAGUCCGUCCAAAGGUAGUCCCCACUGUUCCAAUCCAUCGGAUGCUCAGCCUCUGGUGCACAGCCAGGAUUUUCUUUAAAUCAAGCUUAAUAGCGGCAGAGUCUAGACCGAAAGGAAAUUAUUUGCUAGCCCAAAAUGAUCACAAGCUGGUUUCGCGAUGGCAAUUUGAAUGGAAAACUUAGAUCACGCGUCCAACAAAAAGAUUACCAAGUGUAGCGGCGUGUAUCCUUCAAUAGGGUAAUUCAAUGACCCUUGUUCUGGGCCAAAAAGAACCAAUAGCCAUGCGAUCAUCCUGGUGGAAGGGGAUGCACAUUCGCUUUUGCCACACAAUAAAAUGUCAUAAAUUAUACGCUCAAAACAGAGCACAACGCUUGGUCAUCAUAAAAUGAAUACAUACAUAUACAUGGACCACAAUAAAGAUCCGAAUGCAACAACAGACGACGACUGAUCAUUAAUUAAUGAACAUGAACGGAGGCGGAAAAAGGAGGCAGAAGUGGAUCCAGAAGCAGAUGAGUUGUGGCUGGGCCAUUAGAAUGCAACAUGUCGUCGUGGUCGUGUUCGAUUGCUCAAAACACAGAUAUGCAUCGCAGCCAUAUAUCCAACCAUCUAUAUAGACGUACACAUUUUAGCUGGUCUCUACACGUAUUAUAUGCCCAUAUUUUUUAUGUAUGUUGAGUUCCCUUUGUUUACAAAACAAAAUGUAAACAAAACUUUUGUUCUAUCAUCUCGAACGGCGAUCGAAAGCAUUUGCUGCCAAGCUUCGGAUCCCAAAAGCAGCUGAAAAAGAGGCACUGAAUCUGGGGCAACCAAGCUGGGGGCCCUUUUGGAUUCGGCUUCUGGAUGUCCGAGUGUGCGUUAGAAUCUGUGUGCUUGCAUAAGCAGGCUGUGGAGCAAACGAUCGAGCAACGACGCACCACAAAGAGGCAGCUAGGAAAAUUACUCUGUGGGCAAAAAAGGAAAAGUAUUGGGAAAAGUCAACUAAGCAGAACGAACUAGCAAUGCCCUCAUCAAUCAUUAAGUGAUAGCGCAAUGUUCAGAUAGUCUGGUGGCUAAGCUUUAUCAUUAAUAUAUUGCAAUAUUUCUGUUAUAAUGUAUAUCAAUAU